rnacentral:misc_RNA from 1 species
GAAAUGCGAUAAGUAAUGUGAAUUGCAGAAUUCAGUGAAUCAUCGAAUCUUUGAACGCACAUUGCGCCCUUUGGCAUUCCGAAGGGCAUGCCUGUUCGAGCGUCAUUGCACCAAUCAAGCCUGGCUUGGUAUUGGGCGACGGGGCCGUCACACGCCCCACGCCCCAAUGACACCCGGCGGGACGAACCGAAUCUCAGCGUUGUGAUCAAAAGCCGCUGGUGAGACGGGACGGCCGUGCCGCUAAACAACCCCCAUCAAAGGUUGACCUCGGAUCAGGUAGGGAUACCCGCUGAACUUAAGC